AUUUGGCCCUGUAUCUAUGAGUCCAACAAUCUAGGUAGCAAUUGAAUGUUGUUUUCCAAAAUAAUAAAUGUCUUGGAGUUAACCUUAGAUUGGUUAUUUGGGAAUUCAUCUAGGAACAAGAACAUCGUGGUUCUCAGGCUUUGGAUAAUUUCAACAUUCCUUUUGAAAUGCUACAAGAUGACAUUAAUACUUCAGCUGCAUUGCAUUUCAUGGCCUCUGUACAAAAAAAAGCCAUAGGAAGUCAGGAUGCAAGUACAAAUACAGAGCCAGUACAAGAUAAGGAAGCUGCUUCUCAAGAAGUUAUAUCUGAAAGUGGUAAAAAUCAACAAAUCAUUUCAUGUGUCCCAGAACAUGAACCUUUGAAUGAUCCUCAGCUGCUGAUACCAGAUGUGUAUCUAAAUGUCAGACUUUCCAGUGAAUAUCAGAGAAA
rnacentral:lncRNA from 1 species